ensembl:lncRNA
GUCUGCGUGAGACUCGAUCUGACACUCUUCUGCUGGGAUUGAGCUCUUCUGGAAACUGAACUUUAGAGAAAUGAUGCUGAUCUUUGGACUGAUGCUGCUGCUGCAAACUGCUGCAUGAAACUUCCUCUUUCCUCGGUGAAGCGGUCAGAGGUUUCCUCGUGUUUCAGUCCAGUGUGAGUCUCGCAGUGAAGACGCUUGAUGAGAGCCAGAACACAGACGAUCUGAAGCAGCGUCACACUCUUCUGCUGGAGACUGGACUUUAGAGAAAUGAUGCUGAUCUUUGGACUGAUGCUGCUGCUGCAAACUGCUGCAUGUGUGGAGUGGAACUGCAGUUUUAAUCAAUCAGAUCCCUGUUACGCAGCCCUGGGAGACAAACUCAAUCUGCUGAUGGUCCGGGAUGCCAGUGAAUAUGACCUGAAUUUAAAAAAGAGAAUAAACAACACACAAGAUGAUCAAGUUUGUAGAGUAAAAUAUGGCAGGAUAAAGGAAUGUGAUCUUUAUAAUAACAGAACUGAAGUGACAGUCAUUAAUGGGACUGUUAUAAUAAACCGUGUGAUCAGAGCAGAUUCUGGAAAUUACAGAUUAACACUCACCGAACACUCAGGUGGCACAGAAACAUCUAGAGAUCUUCAAGUGAUUGUUGAAGCUCCAGUUGCCUCAGUGGAAGUGUCAAUCAGCUGCUCCUCCAAUCAGAGGUCAGUGUCCUGCUCCUCAGAGGGGGAUCAGCUCCUCUACAGCUGGACUCUGAAUGGAGAUCCACUGAUGGAUGGAAACAGCAGCAUUGAUCUGGAUGAGGGAACUGAUGGAAACAUCAGCUGCAGCGUGAAGAACCACGUCAGUCACACACAGAAGACCAUUAGAAUCAAAACCUGUCCUGGUCCAGAUCGUUUUUGCAGUUUUUAUCAAUCAGAUUCCUGUUACGCAGCUGUGGGAGACGAUCUUAAUCUACUGAUGGUGCGGGAUGCUCGAGAUCAAGAGCUGCAUUUGUAUAAGGAGUUAAUGGAUAGCAGAGAACUGGAAGUUUUUAGAAUAAAGAACAAAAAAGAGAAAAAACAUGAAUCCAUCAGAAACAGAUCUGAGUUCAUCUUUGAUAAUGGGACUCUGAUAAUAAACCGUGUGAUCAGAGCAGAUUCAGGGAAUUACAGAUUAGAAUUCUAUCACUCAGACGGUUUAAGACCGUUUAAAAAGCUUCUUCGUAUUAAUAUUGAAGCUCCUACUGGCUCAGUGGAAAUGUCAAUCAGCUGCUCCUCCAAUCAGAGGUCAGUGUCCUGCUCCUCUGAGGGCGAUCAGAUCAGCUACAGCUGGACUUUGAAUGGAGAAAUACUAGAACAAGGACCAAUGGAUGGAAUCACCACCAUUCAGCUAAAUGAGGGAACUGAUGGAAACAUCAGCUGCAGUGUCAAGAACCACAUCAGUCACGCACAGAAGACAAUUAAAGUCAAACCCUGUCCUGGUGAGAUCAUUUCUGUGAAUCAGAUAUCAACAACAUGUGUCUAUCAAAAUAUCUAAUAUCAUGAUUUAAACACUUAUGCUGAAGUGUGGGAAUUACUAUACAAUAUCUCUUUUUCUGUCACUAGAAUGUAUCUAGGCUAUUGAACAUAUUUUCUAUUGAAGAGUGUUAUGUGGUGUGCAAUUAUUUGUAAGUAAACUCACAGCUAUAAAGCAGUUCUGUCCACCACAUUACAGUUCCACAUCACUUCACCAAAUGAUUUUAGUUAUUUCAGAGUCCUCACAACAGCAAAUGAACCAAAACCCACAAAGACACUGAAACAGCUAAGAAGUAUGACUAAAAAUAGGAGAUUUUUUUUUCCAAUAAGUUAACUUCAUUAUCACCUAUGGGAAGUGUGCUUUCAUCCAUCUUCUCUCUCGCACACAAACAUGAACUUGCACACAUGCAGUUGACUGAAAAACAUGACAUUUCUCCCUAGCGAGGUAAUGAUGGCACUGUUCUUGAAGCAGAUAAACUUACAGUUUCGCUAUUAGUGGAAACGCUGCUUCUGAACUCUUAAUCCUCUUAAUUGGGGAAGUUGGGGAAGUCGUGGACUAGUGGUUAGAGAGUUUGACUCCUAACCCUAAGGUUGUGGUUCGAGUCUCGGGCCGGCAUACACGACUGAGGUGCCCUUGAGCAAAGCACCGAAGCCCCAGCUGCUCCCCGGGCACCGCAACAUAAAUGGCUGCCCACUGCUCCGUGUGUGUGUUCACGUUGGAUGGGUUAAAUGCAGAGCACAAAUUCUGAGUAUGGGUCACCAUACUUAGCUGUAUGUCACUUCACUUUUUUUUCAAUCUUUCACAUUACUGUUGGUUGACUUUAUGCCACUCCUGGUGCAAAAACUCAAGCAGCUACGCUUUAAGUAGAAACCAUUGACCCACACUCACCCUCUCUGAAAAGCUUCCUCUUUCUUUGUUAAAGUGUUGUAGUUUCCUGGUGUGUCAGUAGAGCUGCUGUCUGUCUGUCAGUGAAGACGCUGCGUGAGACUCGAUCUGACUCUCUUCUGCUGGGAUUGAGCUCUUCUGGAGACUGGACUUUAGAGAAAUGAUGCUGAUCUUUGGACUGAUGCUGCUGCUGCAAACUGCUGCAUGUAAGACACUUUCACAUCAAACUCAUAAAUUUCUCAAAUAAAUACACUAAUAUUAUACA